GACGAACGCUGGCGGCGUGCUUAACACAUGCAAGUCGAACGGGAUUUAGUAAACGGAAGCCUCGGUGGAAGAUUACUAAUGAGAGUGGCGAACGGGUGAGUAACGCGUGAGCAACCUGCCUAUGACAGUGGGAUAGCCUCGGGAAACCGGGAUUAAUACCGCAUAAAAUCGUAGAAACAUAUGUUUCAACGGUCAAAGAUUUAUCGGUCAUAGAUGGGCUCGCGUCUGAUUAGCUAGUUGGUGAGAUAACAGCCCACCAAGGCGACGAUCAGUAGCCGGUCUGAGAGGAUGAACGGCCACAUUGGAACUGAGACACGGUCCAAACUCCUACGGGAGGCAGCAGUGGGGAAUAUUGCACAAUGGGGGAAACCCUGAUGCAGCGACGCCGCGUGAACGAAGAAGGUAUACGUAUCGUAAAGUUCUGUCCUAUGGGAAGAUAAUGACAGUACCAUAGAAGAAAGCUCCGGCUAAAUACGUG
rnacentral:rRNA from 1 species